AGAUGUUAAGUCCACUGCCUGGGGAGUACGGUCGCAAGGCUGAAACUUAAAGGAAUUGGCGGGGGAGCACAGCAACGAGAGGAGCGUGCGGUUUAAUUGGAUUCAACGCCGGAAAACUCACCAGAGCCGACGGACACAUGAAGAUCAGCGUGAUGAGCUUAUUGGAUUGUUCGAGAGGUAGUGCAUGGCCGUCGUCAGUUCGUACCGUAAGGCGUUCUGUUAAGUCAGAUAACGAACGAGACCCCUAUCGUCUAUUUGCUAAAUGGAUCUCCGGAUUCAUUGCACUAUAGCGAGACCGCUGGCGUGAAGUCAGAGGAAGGUGGGGGCAACGACAGGUCAGUAUGCUCCGAAUGCUCUGGGCUACACGCGCGCUACAAAGGCCAGGACAAUGGGUUUGCCACGCCGAGAGGCGGCGCUAUCCGGAAACCUGGUCGUAGUUCGGAUCGAGGGCUGUAAUUCGCCCUCGUGAAGCUGGAUUUCGUAGUAAUCGCGUCUCAAAAUGGCGCGGUGAAUAUGCCCCUGCUCCUUGCACACACCGCCCUUCAAACCAUCUUAGUUGGGGGUGGGUGAGGCUGCCUUUUAAUGGGGUAUUCGAGCCUGCCUUAGACAAGGAGGGUUAAGUCGUAACAAGGUAUCUGUAG
rnacentral:rRNA from 1 species